UGUGUUCUUCCUGAUGCCGAUGUGUGCUGGUAACCUCACCACCGCACCGAAGAGGUUAUCAGACAACAGGCGUUGCAUGCAAUCAAACAGCUGGCUUAUGUGUGAGUUCAGACAAUGCGAAAAACCAAGCACCAUGCGCUAAGCUAGCCUCUAAUGCAUGAAAGCUAAAUGCGGUCAACCAAAUAUAUUGCAGAUGUUAAUUUAGAGGCUGCAUUUGCGUAACCAGCCUCAUGUGAACCAGACUUGAGCUAGCCAGGCCCGCUCACUACGGCUGCCAAACACGCCCAUGGAGUCCGUCGAGGUACGCAAGAAGAUCGUACUACUCGAGCACGGCUCACGAAACUCAAUCUUUUGUUGCAGCCCUACCUGUCGAUACACCCACCCACACGCCGGUGGUGGUUUAUCAUUACUGCCGCGUUGCCUUGUCGAUUACGGCGACCACGUCCCACGCGCCCGCUGGGCACGGCGCCAGUGGCGUAACGCGGAAGCGGGCGGGCCGGGGACAAACAAAAAGAAAAGAAAAGAGAGAGACCACCGGCGCCACGUGACCCCCGUCGUGACGGACUUCCUUCCGGCGCGCUGGGGCGGUCGCUCCUCCCAUAGCCAAAACGAAAGGGCCAUCCGGAGCGGGCGGGCUCGUUCGUUCGCGAUGGCGGCGGCGGCGGCGGACGCGACCACGGCCAUGACCAUCGACUUCCUCCGCGCGCGCCUCCUCUCCGAGCGCUCCGUCUCCCGCGCCGCCAAGGACCGCGCCGACCAGCUCGCCAACCGGGUAUGUGCGCCCCUGCGCUCCCGUCCCGCGCAUUCUGCCUGCGGCAUUGCCGACUGACUGCCUGUCGCCGCUGCAGGUCGCGGAGCUGGAGGGGCAGCUCCGGGCAGUGACGGCCCAGCGCCGGGAGGCGGAGCGGGCCGCCGCCGAGGUGCUGGCCAUCCUCGACUCGCAGGGCUUCUCCGACGCCGCGGAUUCCGGCUCCGACGACGACGGCGCCGGCGGCACCCCCGAGGCCCCCGGCCACGGGAGCGUCGAACCCCGCGGGGAGGCGGAGGACGCGCUGUCGGGCUCGGAGCUCGGAGGCCCGGCCGGGGCGCCUCGGCCCGGGGGCCUCUCCUGGAAGGGCCGCGCCGCCAGCCCUGGCGCGGACAGGCGGCAUCCGCAUCUCAAAGCCAGGCAGCUCAGGCAGCGGCACGGCCAUGGCCACAGGAGGAUCUACUUUUACUUGCUCGCCGCGGAUUCCUCGCCCAAGUACCAGCCGGGCCAGUCCUGCCGGAAGAUCCGGAGAAAGGAGCCGAGGUCCAGGCACACAACCACAUUUGCUGAAACUGUUCUGUGCUGAUUCUUGGUCUGUAGUUGUGCAUUGGCUUAUCUAACAUGCUGUAGUCAUACUAUUGUUGUAACAGGUUGCAGGCUGAAGGUGGGGAUGGCAAGGGCAAUGCUGCCGAGGGUCUGGAGGAGGGCCAGGCAAAAUCUGAUUGCACCGAUGAGCAACAUGAUUUGGAUGGUGAGGUGGGCCAAGACGGGCGAGGUUCUUGUGGUGGCAGUGAGUAUGAGAAGGGUGGGGAGAUGGAGAGAGUCCUUGAGAAUCAGGCUGCGCUGAUUGGGCAGUAUGAGGCACAAGAAAAUGCUCAGAGGGAGUGGGAGAAGAAAUUCAAUGGGAGCCGAGAUUCAACUUCGGUACGUGCACACUUACUUUCAUUCGAGUAUCAACAACGAAUUAUUAGAUACAAUACUUAUGGUGCUAGUACUUCUUCCCGUAAGAUAAGUAUGCACAUUGAACCAUGUUGAAAGAUUAACCUUGCAUUUUGAUGCCGUUUCAUAGGGAUAUAUGAUCCGUGUUAAGAACUUGAGAUGGGUUUGGUAGUUACAAGAGUUGGCGAUCUAAGCAGUUAAUGGACCUGAUAGUCAUCAAUUUGCUUGUUGAAAUAGUAGACUGCAAGUUACCGUGUUCCUCUUUAGUCAAACUUGCAUAUGGUGUUUUGGAAUGAUUUUUAUUCUGCUAACAUGAAGUACUUGUUGUCAAUGUAAACCAAACAAUUUUCUUUUACUUUAUUUGUGUAGUGAACUUUGCAGUUGCUGGAUAUAGAACUUAAAAAUACUAGGAUUUUUGUUAUUUGACUUGUACUUCUGCAUUUCAACUCCCAGGAUGAUGUUGACCGAGAUAAUAAGUUAAAUCAGAAUGGAAAAACAUGGGGACAGAGGGGCAGAGCUGCGCAGAUUGUGAAUAGAGAACUAGUUGGUGAAGAGGCACGAUCAAGGGAUAAAAGAGAUCUCUCUGGAAUUAACAGUCCAUCGGAGUGUUUGUCGAACGAAUCUGCCUUUGGCUUGUCCACAAAUGCUCGAAAUGUAAGUGCUAUUGGGAAGUCUGAAGGAUCUGAUAAUGAUUUUGAGCGGGCUACUGCAGUAGUUGCUUCAGUUGUUGAUGAAUUGCAUGCUAGGAAGGAUGAACUAGUACAUAAAAGUUAUACUAAAAUUAUUGAAGGGAGUGGGAAUAAUCUUGGAAGAUCAGCUUCUUCACCACAAAAAGGCUAUCAUAGCAGCCCAAAUGCAGUACAUAAUAAAGGUCAAGGAGAUGGGAAUUCAGACAGUGGUUCAAGCUACCAUGGGAAUGCUCGCUCUUAUGAGCACUAUGUAACCACACCAUCACUUGGAAGUCCUUUAAGUGAUACCCCUAAAAGCAAAGUGUCUGAAUGGAGCUCGUCAUGCUUUCAUAACCAUACCGAUAACCAGAUUGACAUGCAGCCACCCUCAAGUGAUGAUGUGGGAGGUGUUCUAGAGGCACUUCAACGUGCCAAGAUGUCCCUCAGGGAAAAACUGGGCAGGGCAAGUCCACCCAGGCAAGACAUGUUGGCACUUCCAGCACCAGAGGAUCACUACACAGAUGAUGAUUUGCAAGUCGACGACACAGAACUUCCACUUUGCAUGUCACAACGGCUUAGCCAGGAAAUAUUGACACUGCCAGCAUCAGAAGACUACCUUAGCAGGAUCAGUUUACCAGGUGAUGAUGCAAAGGUACCAGUUGGCCCUGCUGGCUUGUUCCGGUUGCCAACAGACCCGUUUCCCCAAAACGAGGUGUGUUCCACUGAUGGCUAUGGCUCAAGGUUCAGUUUGACGUCAAGUCGGCAGACCGUCUUUUCAAGAAACCCUGCUAGUCAUAUCAUGUUAACUUCAUCCCGCCCCCAGUAUGGUUCUGGUUUCUCACCGAAUCCGUAUUACGAUCUUCAUAAUUCAAUGUAGUCAAUGGCUACAACAGGGGAUGCUUCUUUCAUCCCAGAAAUUCUAAGGUCUAGCGAUGAUUCAAAAAGGGGAAUGUCUUCUGGUGAUGCAGGCAUGCUUUCCCAGUAUGGUAGUGCUUAUGAUUAGUAGCUGGAGUGUACUAGUAGCUAUGCAUGGUUAGAAUCCCAAUAUAGCCUUUGAGCUAGAUGCUAUCUGUUGCGUCGGUUCUUCGUAUGGUUUGAUAAUGAUGUGUGUCAUGUUGUAUUACUAUCCAAGAAUAAAUCUUGUUUGUAAGCAGUGUAGGCUUUCUCUCUUAUGCCCUCAUGAGGCAUUACAAAUUGCUACUGAUAAUGAUGUGUGUCAUGUUUUAUUACUAAUCUGAUCGCUCUCAUGUCUCCGUUGUCCAUAGCCCUUGCUGCUUCGCAACAUAAAUCCAUCAUGUUAAGCAUUGCUUUUCC
rnacentral:lncRNA from 1 species